rnacentral:rRNA from 1 species
AUUAAUAGAUAUGUUCUUUAAAAUUGAAGAGUGUGGCGGUAGCUUAAUCUUAUUAGAGGAACCUGUUUUUAUAAUUCGAUACACCCCGUAAAAUCUUACUCACUUUAUUUAGUUUAUAUACCGUCAUUAUCAGAUGGUUUUUGAAAAAUUAAUCAUUAAAGUUUAAAGUAAAUAUAAGUUAAAUUAGAUCAAGGUGUAGCUUAUAAGUGAGUUAAAAUGGGUUACAAUAAAAUUUAUUUACUACGGAGUGAUUAUAGGAAGAUUUAUCAUAAAGGAGGAUUUAAUUGUAAUUAGAGUUUAACAUGUUUUAAAGAAAUAAAGCACUAAGCUAU